CUCAGUCUUUCGUUAUUACUUUUUUCUCUAUUCAUAAUUUCUCCACUUGCAAAACAGGAGAACAGAAGUCUUAAUGUUACAAAAAUCCAUGUCUUCACGGCCCCCUUUCCACCUUAGGAGGGGUGGACACUGGGCGUUUCAGAUGUGAAGGGAUGGCGUUUAUCUACACUGGCCUCCACACUGGGGAAGGCCACGCACUUCGGAAUUUUAUGUCUCAUCUCCAAGCGUUACUAACCAUUUGGAGCACUUCAAGUUGUUCACAGUCCCAUGGCAUUUCACUGAUCUUCCCAAGUAAGAAAAGUAGAGUCACCUCCAUUUAAAGAAAGAAGACUGAGACAAAUAGGACUGUGGCAUCAGCUCCUGCACCACAGCCCAUCAAUGGAAAACCAGGACUGGUAUUUAGACUAAUCUCUAAACCAAGCUGAAAUGUUUUCUUAUAAGAGAGAAAGAAUUAAAAAUUUGGAAUACUAUUCCUUUGGUACCCUUUUCGAGAGUUUGAAAUACUCUUUCACAACAAACUCCAGGAAACUUAGACCAAAAGACACAGAACAGAACAUAUCAAAUCAGCAAAGACAUAUGGUCACUGUUGCUCUCUUGGCCCAGAAAGAAGAGAAAAGCAUCAAAAGUCAUGGGAGUGAAUUGCUACGGCAAAGACAGAAAUUCUCCACCAAUCUAGGCCCAGGUGAGAAAAAAAUGCAUCGCUAUGCUUUAAAAAUUCCUAAAUGUGCUUUCUAAAUGCAUACCUGAUAACAGAGGCUAAUUCUGAUGUCAUAUCAGGGUAGGAUCUUUGUCCCAGUGGACCUAUCCAACUAUGGAUGGGGCUACUGAGAAAAUGUGAACCCAAUUACUGGAAAUAGUCAGGUAGAGGUGAAAUGGCCAUCUGUUUAAGGUUGUAGUGGGAAGCUAUUUUUUGAGAUUCUAAGGCUGUGUUGCUCAAUAUGGUUGUCACUAGUCACAGGAGGUGAUUUAAAUAAUCAAAAUUAAGUAAAAUUAGAAAUUCAAUGCCUCUGUCUCACCAGCCCCAUUUCAAGUGCUCUGUAGCCACAUGUGUCUAGUGGCUUCCAUGUAAGACAGCACAGAGAACAUUCAAUCAUCACAGAAAGUUCUAUUGGACAGCCCACUGUAAGGCCUUCCAACUCCUAAAAUGAAGUGACUUUACCAUGGUGUUAUGCAGUUCAGAGACAUCUCUGUCUUCAAAAACCUUAUGUCUCCUAGAGUAGACGGAAUAGAAAUGAGGGGUAUGGUAUGGGCCAGCCUCUCAAAGCAGGGAUGUAUUUAUUUAAUCCUCUCAUUAGUAACUUCUUUGUUGAUCUAUGAGAUAUAUUUCAGAUCUGCAGUCUUGCUGUUCUGAGCACACUUGCAACUGAGAAAGUGAAAUGACUGCUCAGCUCAAAAGAAGCUGAGACACUGUCUGAAGA
rnacentral:lncRNA from 1 species